rnacentral:lncRNA from 1 species
GUCCAGUAUAAGCUGGCUAGAAAAGAAACUGGAAACAUUGUUUGAUGUGUCUGCUUGCCGGUGCGAUCUUCCAAUUAUUGAUGAUUGUCAUGAUAGACGAAUUGGAUGUCGGAAAAGUAAUUGCACAAUGAAACACAUAGUUUGUCUCUGUGAGGAAAGUAGAAAGGUCCCUGUUCUGGAAAGAGAAUAUUUAAAGGACCAAAGAUGCAAGAUAGGACCAAAAGGAAGUUGGCAGUUAGGCAAUGUGGACCAUGUGGAGGCAACAAGGAACGCCAAAAAGUAUAUUAGAGAGGAAAACGAGGCAACUAAAAAGCUAAUUAGACAAAAAAAUCUUCAA